AUUGAACGCUGGCGGCAGGCCUAACACAUGCAAGUCGAGCGAGCGUCGGACGGGUGUGUAAAGUAUCUGGACUGUCCGAUAGAGGGGGAUAACUACUGGAAACGGUAGCUAAUACACCAUACUAUCGGAUUAUCCACAUGGGAUUAGCUAGUAGGUGGGGUAAUGGUUCACCUAGGCGACGAUCCCUAUCUGGUCUGAGAGGAUGAUCAGCCACACUGGAACUGAGACACGGCCCAGACUCCUACGGAGGCAGCAGUGGGGAAUAUUGCACAAUGGGCGCAAGCCUGAUGCAGCCAUGCCGCGUGUAUGAAGAAGGCCCUAGGGUUGUAAAGUACUUUCAGUCGGGAGGCGUUACCGACAGAAGAAGCACCGGCUAACUCCGUGCCAGCCGCCGCGGUAAUUC
rnacentral:rRNA from 1 species